rnacentral:rRNA from 1 species
AGUCGAGGGGCAGCAUGGUCUUAGCUUGCUAAGGCCGAUGGCGACCGGCGCACGGGUGAGUAACACGUAUCCAACCUGCCGUCUACUCUUGGACAGCCUUCUGAAAGGAAGAUUAAUACAAGAUGGCAUCAUGAGUCCGCAUGUUCACAUGAUUAAAGGUAUUCCGGUAGACGAUGGGGAUGCGUUCCAUUAGAUAGUAGGCGGGGUAACGGCCCACCUAGUCUUCGAUGGAUAGGGGUUCUGAGAGGAAGGUCCCCCACAUUGGAACUGAGACACGGUCCAAACUCCUACGGGAGGCAGCAGUGAGGAAUAUUGGUCAAUGGGCGAGAGCCUGAACCAGCCAAGUAGCGUGAAGGAUGACUGCCCUAUGGGUUGUAAACUUCUUUUAUAAAGGAAUAAAGUCGGGUAUGGAUACCCGUUUGCAUGUACUUUAUGAAUAAGGAUCGGCUAACUCCGUGCCAGCAGCCGCGGUAAUACGGAGGAUCCGAGCGUUAUCCGGAUUUAUUGGGUUUAAAGGGAGCGUAGAUGGAUGUUUAAGUCAGUUGUGAAAGUUUGCGGCUCAACCGUAAAAUUGCAGUUGAUACUGGAUAUCUUGAGUGCAGUUGAGGCAGGCGGAAUUCGUGGUGUAGCGGUGAAAUGCUUAGAUAUCACGAAGAACUCCGAUUGCGAAGGCAGCCUGCUAAGCUGCAACUGACAUUGAGGCUCGAAAGUGUGGGUAUCAAACAGGAUUAGAUACCCUGGUAGUCCACACGGUAAACGAUGAAUACUCGCUGUUUGCGAUAUACUGCAAGCGGC